UACGGAGGGUGCAAGCGUUAUCCGGAUUCACUGGGUUUAAAGGGUGCGUAGGCGGGCAGGUAAGUCAGUGGUGAACUCUCCAAGCUUAACUUGGAAACUGCCGUUGAUACUAUCUGUCUUGAAUGUUGUGGAGGUGAGCGGAAUAUGUCAUGUAGCGGUGAAAUGCUUAGAGAUGACGUAGAACACCAAUUGCGAAGGCAGCUUACUACACAAAUAUUGACGCUGAGGCACGAAAGCGUGGGGAGCAAACAGG
rnacentral:rRNA from 1 species